rnacentral:misc_RNA from 1 species
AGCAGCCGCGGUAAUUCCAGCUCCAAUAGCGUAUAUUAAAGUUGUUGCAGUUAAAAAGCUCGUAGUUGAAUUUCGGGAUCAAAGGAUCGGUCAUGCCUUGGUAUGUACUGGUUUUAUUGGUUCUCACCUUCUAAAGAACCAUAAUGUCAUUCAUUUGAUGUUAUGGGGAAUUGGGACUGUUACCUUGAAAAAUUAGAGUGUUUAAAGCAGGCUUACGCUUGAAUACAUUAGCAUGGAAUAAUGAAAUAGGACAUCAGAUUCUAUUUUGUUGGUUUCUAGGAUCGAUGUAAUGAUUAAUAGGGAUAGUUGGGGGCAUUAGUAUUCAAUUGUCAGAGGUGAAAUUCUUGGAUUUAUUGAAGACUAACUACUGCGAAAGCAUUUGCCAAGGAUGUUUUCAUUAAUCAAGAACGAAAGUUAGGGGAUCGAAGACGAUCAGAUACCGUCGUAGUCUUAACCAUAAACUAUGCCGACUAGGGAUCGGAUGAUGUUAAUUUUAUAAUGACUCU